rnacentral:tRNA from 1 species
GCUCAUAUAGUUUAACAAAAAUAAUAAAUUGUGGCUUUAUUGAUGCGCUAAUGCUGUGAGCU